AGAGUUUGAUCCUGGCUCAGAACGAACGCUGGCGGCGUGGAUAAGACAUGCAAGUCGAACGGGACAGUCUUGUAGCAAUAUGAGACUGUUCAGUGGCGAACGGGUGCGUAACACGUGGGUCACAUUCCGGGAAGUGAGAAAUAGCCCAGGGAAACUUGGAUUAAUAUCUCAUGUGGUCGCAAGACUAAAGGCGCAAGCCGCUUCCUGAUUGGCCCGCGGCCUAUCAGCUAGUUGGUGAGGUAAUGGCUCACCAAGGCAACGACGGGUAGCUGGUCUGAGAGGACGACCAGCCACACUGGAACUGAGACACGGUCCAGACACCUACGGGUGGCAGCAGUCGAGAACCUUUCACAAUGGGCGAAAGCCUGAUGGAGCGACGCCGCGUGGAGGUUAAGGUCUUCGGAUUGUAAACUCCUGUCAUGCGAGAACAAAGCCCGCAAGGGUGUGAUAGACCGCAAGAGAAGAGCGA
rnacentral:rRNA from 1 species